AUUCAUCAAAUGUGUUACAUAUAAUUAUGAUAAAGAAUUGUUUCACCUCGGAGUCAAAAGAUGCCAAUAUGGUUGUAUCCAAGCAUGUGAUGUCCUCAUCAGCUGCCACAAAUAUAUUGGGCUUUGUUUAGAUGAAAGUUUAGCUACUGUUAAUUCCUUAUAAACACAUGUGUCAAUUAGACCUCCCGAUUUGCUUGAUUUAGAACCCCAAAUUCAAGUGCAUCAGAUUUAUCUCUUGGGCAAGGUCUGAGCAUUAUUUGCUUGUCUACAUAUUGUUGCUUGUUCUUCGAUUUUCU
rnacentral:lncRNA from 1 species